rnacentral:tRNA from 1 species
GCCCCCGUAGCUCAGUCGGUUAGAGCAGUGGACUCAUAAUCCAUUUGUCCUGGGUUCGAGCCCCAGCGGGGGUA